rnacentral:lncRNA from 1 species
UGUUUGUCAAGGGCCCUGCUUAGCCAUGGCUUUGUUGGAAACACUGAGGAAAACUUCCCCACGGCAUUGGUUUUCCUCUGUGGUAAGGUCCAUGUGGUGAGGGUCUCUCCAUGGUCUUCCUGAAAAAGAUGGCAGAUAGCUCAUCAGGACUAACCUGCGACCUAACUGACUUUGGGAGAAAAGCAUCCGGCUUUUAAGAAAAGCAUCUUAAGACAAUAUCUUACCCCACAGAAAGCACAGUGUCCAGUGUCCCUUCCUGAAUCCGAUGUGAUAAAUGAAUGGACCUCAUUACGUGACAAUAGAGACACUCAGGAAAGUCCUGAGGCCUCUGGCCUCCUUUUUGUUCCCUGGGGACCACAGCCAUGGCACCAGCUGCAGUUAUCCUGAGUU